rnacentral:misc_RNA from 1 species
CUACUAAUUUUAUUAAGAAUAUUUAAUUGUGGAUUAAAAGGUUUUUAGCUUUAUAUUUAUUUUUAAAAAUAUUUUUUAUUGUUGAAAAGAGUAAGAAAAUAAUAAUUUUUAUUAUUAAUUAAAAGUUAAUUUUUUUUUAUUAUAAUUUUUAGUUUAAAAUAAAAAUUUUAAAUAAAGAAAUUAGAAAUUAUGUUUUAACUUAUAUUAGUUUUUAUUAUAAUUUUUUAUUAUAAUUUUUUUUAUAUUUAUAGUUUUUUUAAAAAAUUUAUUUUAAAAAAAUAAUUUAUUUAUUAAUAAAUUAAUUAAAAUAAUUUGAUUUUUAAAUUAUUUUUAAGAAUUUGAUUUUUUUUGAAAUGUUUUUUAAAAUCUUAAGUGAUUUUUUUUUUAAUUUUUUAUUUCUGCUCAAUGAGUUUUAAAUGGCAUCUUUAGCGUGAUUGGUCAAAGGUA